CGGGGCGUGGCUCAGUUUGGCUAGAGCGCUUGCUUUGGGAGCAAGAGGUCACAGGUUCAAGUCCUGUCGCCCCGACCA
rnacentral:tRNA from 1 species